UCAGAUUUUAGUUUAUCUACAUAUUUUUCCUGAGUUUGCCGGCUCCGUUUCUUUAAACUGCUGAUAAUUUGCAGGUUAAGAACACAUUUUUCACAUACUUGUUUGGACAGAGGAUCAGUCUUGUAUAACUAAAAAAUGGUGAUUAAACAGCCGGCAUUAAUACAACGAACAAUAUCUCUGGCAACAACAACAGCACCAAUCGUUAGCUUGUUGGCACGAACAAAGUGCACACACUUACUUACUUGGGAAUUUUCUUUUGACCUCGAUUACGAACGAUAUGCUUAUCUACCAGAACGUGGUUCGCUGUGGCAAACCACUUCGACGAAGUUUUCAUGUCAAUGACGGUGACCGAAUCAGGGCUUGCGAGGUCUCUCCUGUGUAGACAACAACUGUGUCGUCGGCGAAACUUAUAAUUCUUCCCACAGUUUUAAAAAAAAUUAUUUAUAUAUAUAAUAACUUAUGAUAAUAAUAAACACUUUGCUCCGAA